ACCGGCGCACGGGUGAGUAACGCGUAUGUAAUCUGCCCUGUACAAAGGGAUAACCCGGAGAAAUCCGGCCUAAUACCUUAUAAUUUUUAUAUUGGGCAUCCAGUAUAAAUUAAAGGAGCAAUCCGGUACAGGAUGGGCAUGCGUAUCAUUAGCUAGUAGGUAGGGUAACGGCUUACCUAGGCGACGAUGAUUAGGGGUUCUGAGAGGAUAAUCCCCCACACCGGGACUGAGACACGGCCCGG
rnacentral:rRNA from 1 species